UCCCCCAUCCUUACCUCGGAACUUCUAACGAAUCUUGGGAAAAACACAUUUUACGCAGAUUUACUCGUCUGCCGUCAACCGCACAUAACCGAACCAAAUGUUUGUCGAAUACAAAACAAUAGCUCAUAGACUAUAUAGACGUAUUUAUGUUUUACUGAAUUUUUACACGUUUUGGGCCUUUUCCCUCUUAAUUUUAAUUUUAGUACUUCGAAUUCCCCGAAUGCUGCGAAACGUGCGGAGAAUGCUUCGGUGAGAAAAUGUUUACGUCUACAUCGAAUGUAACAACAGUCGACAUCGAGAAUAUCACCUGUAUCACUUUCCGAAAGAAGACAAUGCCCUUCAUAAAGAAUAAACUUGAAAGGGUGGUAACCACUUCCUAAAAUAUUAUGCCAACGCCAUUUUAAGAAGCAUGGAUGUCCGUGUCGAUCAUUAUUUACCCGAAAUCAUCAAACAAAACCAUACAAAUAUUCGAAUAGAUGGAGAAGCAUACUGUAUCCCAACAACCAACAACUUUAUUACAAAAUAAAAGAGAAAGAAAAGAUGUACAAGAAAGACAGCACGUUAUCGAAAAACAGUUGAUCAGAGAAGGAGGGCAAGAGCAAGAAGAACGACAUCAAUGCAGCUACUGGCAUUACCAACAAUAGCAAGAAGCGGAUGAAGGAGGGAUAAAAUAAGAAGAAGAAAAUGAAUUAUUUGUUAAUGUACCAAUGCUAGACUAUACAAGCGUAACAUCAUGAUUCGCUGACAACGAGGAUUCAAUUGAAAGGACAACAAUUGAAUCACGGACAAACUGCGACUUUUAAAUUGAGGAAAGCCUAGGGAGGACUUUCCGAGAAAUAGAAUUGCAAGAUGAACAUGCUCAGCUGUUGAAAGAAAAUAAAAAUUUGGAAGCACGAAUAAAAUAUGUCAAAUAAAAUCUCAAAAGAACCGAAAUGUCCAGAAAUCAAUUGCGUGUAAAGUUGAAGGGAUUGCAUGCCUUGAGGUGGAAUCGUUUAUGUAAGGUCAAAAUACAUGCUCAAGUUCGGAAAAGAAAAAGUUGCAAAAAGAUGGACCAAGAGACAGAAACAAAAAAAUAUACUGCACCAGUAAAAAUUGUACAAUUACAAAAUUCCUUGAAGAUGAAUCACGACAUUUUCCUCCAAAAAGAGGACGCUUCGUCGUAGAGAGUGAAGGUGCGCUUUCUUGCUGGCCCCGGAAACUCCUUUAUUCGUAAGAUAAAGCAAAACGAUCACUAUGAAGCCAGCCUAUGAAACAACCGUUUUCCGAAUUCCAUAGUUUCUGCAGAAUCGAUUCCUUCAAUGAUUCUAGGAACAUUCAAAAAAUAACAUUUCGUUACAGCGGAGGAAGGUUCGCGGCUGAGAAGAUAUCAAGAAAGAAAGACGCAGGUCUCAAAAAUCAAAAGAAAAGGUGUAGAGGAGUUCGGAUUUCUUCGAAGACAGAAAUCUACACUCAUAUAAUACCCGUCUUUGACUGAAUCAUUUUGGAUGAUUUCCCUUUAUAGAA